AUGCUCGUUGUUCUUUUCCUCUUUUCAGUUGUCUUUAGAGACGGAGAGAAGAGCAAGUGGUGGUGAUGGUUCAGUCAUCACCGGUAAGCAGCGUCCGGCCUCACAGAAGAUGAAUCAUGCAGGCGAAACGGGCGUCUGUUCCAAACGCACUUGGAGCUGGACCAGGCAGACUUUUCCCUGAUGCCCACAAGAAAAAUAAGUUCAAGGAAGGUGGCGAGAGUGAAAGCAUAUCGACUACAGGGUUCGAGACGAAGGUGUUGUUAUUAGUGCCUGAACAAGGACUCCGACAGACACAGCACCUGCGGCUUGAGCCCCAGCACCAGGGACGCUGACUGAUGGAUGGAGACGGAGGCCGAGGCAGGAUGAGUCAGAAGUCCGACCCGAUUCUAGCCGGUUCUAGCGGGUGUGUUCGGACACCGGACGUCUUUUUCCCUGAAAUUCUCACCUGUUUGACCAGGCAAUUAUGCUCAUAUUUGCAAUUCAGUUCCAUUAAAGGGGUUUGUGUAAACGUUUGUCAUUUCAUUAAAGCACCUUGAAUUUUGAGUUGUACAAAGCAUAUGUUCCACCAGCUGUUUUGCUCUCCUUUGUGUCGUCUAUGCUGCGCGAACGAAUCGCGCCCUGAGAUCUCCCUCCCGACUCCCCAUGACUACGGAGACAUGGCGCGUUGAGGACACGGGGAUGGACGGAGGGCCGCGCCGUCCGCGAUGACGGCACACGGACGGCGCACUGAGGCCGUGGGAUCGAGGCUCUCGCUUUGUGGCCACGCGGCACUGACUUCGCGCUCCUCGUCAUGACUCUUGGUUCACUGAGCGCCGCACACAAAACUGUACUGCUGUACGAGAGGAGAGAUGAAGAAGGAGGCUGAGUGAGACGAAAGAGAAAUCGCAUUGAAAGGACAACGCAGAGACGUCCACAUGGAGCAACGCCCGUGUCCAACACCUUCGUCCAUUUGUACACGCUGUGGUGAAGUACCUCCCCCAUUGGGUUCAUCACAGGCUCGACGCCUUGACCCAAGAGGCAAAGAGGGGAGCAGAUCUGCCCUGGUGUUACUCCACGCUGGUUAUGAGUGCCCAGAAGGAGGAAGAUCUGGGCGACAGUUCAUUGGCUUGGCCUUCGCACCCAGGACGCU
rnacentral:lncRNA from 1 species